UUUUGUGAUUAUAUGCUCCAGAGUUAGAAAUCAUAGAACAUGACGAAGAUUUCCUUCUUUCUUGUUUCAUUUGUUAGUUAAUUUAGUGAUUAUAUGCUUCCGGUCUUCUUUCUUUUUGUAUCUUUCAUUAGUGAAGGUCAUUGGUAUGGCGGAUUGGGUUGGCAGGAAUUUUGAAUCAACUUGAUUGCGAACGUGAAUAGAAAAUGGUGACUGCAAUAGUGGAUUCAGAUCCAACAUCUUGAACAAGCACUUGUCAUUGCACAAAAGGAAAGUAACGAGGUCAAAAGGCAACUUAGCAGGUGCUCCUUUCUAACGGUGCUAGAAACAGCUUGGUCAACGAUUAAACAAAAGCAUCACCAGCUGCAAGGCUUUGUGAUGAUCCAAAUGCAAAAAUGGAAGUACACUGCUGCUUUUGCUAACAAAGAAGUGGUCUUUUUUGUGAUACACAUCACAAAGUUAUUGCGGUAUUACCUCGUUUAUGCUACUUAAUGAGCUCCUUGACCCUCACAAAGGUUAUCUUAUGCAUGAUACAUGUAUAUUUAAAGAUAAUGGUAUAGUAAAGGAAACCCGUUAUGUUGGUCCUCAAAAUCAAGGCAUUAUGAUUAUGAAUUCUCUCCUACAAACUUUGUACUAUAUACCUUACUUUAAAAAGGUUAUGUAUCAGGUUGAUGCUCGGUAGAAUAAUAAUGAAGAACAAACCGUAUAGUAACAGAACUGGUGUAUAUACGGCUGCAUCUCGGUUGUUGAUUGCAACACCACUGCCUACUUACGUGCUACUCUGUUGAGGCAUUGGCUGGCAUACGGUGAAGAGAGGGAUACCUAAUGUGUGUUACAUAUGUAGAACAUUUAGAUGUACUUGAAUAUCAUUAUGUGAAGUCUAGUGCCAAGUACAAGCACCGAAGCACCACGAACAUAUCAAGUUAGCAGUAACAUCACUGAUCAGACGCCUAAUCUCGAACAAGAAGUGAAGGAUUGUACGCUUUAUAUGGAAUCUGACUGGACGGGAAUCAAGCAACUAUUAAAGAGACGAACGUUUGAUUUCAAUCGAGCAGCCAAGGCAGUUGAAGAAUGAAACCCACCCUUUCGUC
rnacentral:lncRNA from 1 species